CUAAGUAGGGAAUAGAGAGAAAUAGAGAGAAAUCUCUCAAUUUUAGAGAGAAUUUUUCUCUGUAGAAGCCUCUUUCUCUUAGCCUCUCAAAAAAGCUGAGCGUCAUCUCCGGUGGUUUUCCCUUUUCCUUCGGGAUAGGGAAAGGCUCAUCGCCGGCUGGGGCUUUUAGGGUCCCUCGCCUUCCCUAAUUGGUUUGUAUAGUUUUGUUUUGCGUUUGUUUUGUAGAUCUGGGUUCUAACUGGUGAGAAUGGUUUGAAAAAGGAUCUGCUACGAGGAAGAGGUGGUUUGAUCUGUUGUUUGGUUCCUGCUUCCUUGGUUUCUUUUCCCCUGGUGUUUUUGGCUUGUUGUUUCUUUUCCCCUGGUGUUUGGUGAUCUGUUGAUCUGGCAUUUACAUGAGGUAACCGGCGUCCCAUAGUUAUAGGAGAUUGCAACGUCAUGGCCCUGCCUUUCUUUCUCCUAGAGCGACAAUGGUGAGCCCUAUGAAUUUAUCUUGAAAAGUUUAUCUGUCUUUGCUUUGGUUGUGGAGUAUCUUCUUCCUAAUUUUGACUAGUUUAGCUAUGGCUGCUAGUCUUUGGAGGAUGGUUUCUCCUAAUUUGACUUCGGUGAGUCACUCUGGCUUGAUUCUGGUAGACGGCAGUAUUGUGAGAGUUUUCUGAGUUAUUGCCUAUGGUUCAGCUAAGUUUGCUAUCAAGAAUUGGGCUUGCUUUGUGGGACUUAUACAUUGAGUAGGGGUUGUAUUCUGAGCAAGGCUUUGUCAAAUUUAAUUUGCCCUUUUAAUUUUAAUGCAAUGAAAUGUGCAAUUCAAAAAAAAAAAAAGAGAGAAAUAGAUACCUCUACAAUAUAAACAUAAGAUAAGAAAGAAAAGAGGAUAUUUCCCUGUAUUCAUUUAUG
rnacentral:misc_RNA from 1 species